CAAGGACACAAGAUAGACGUUGUAACACACAGGGCGUGUGUUACAACGCCCUGUGUGUUACAACGUCUAUCUUGUGUCCUUGUCAAUUUUGC
rnacentral:pre_miRNA from 1 species